rfam:Triticum aestivum genome assembly, contig: Triticum_aestivum_CS42_TGACv1_scaffold_030986_1BL
GUCAUACUUCCUCCGUCCGGAAAUACUUGUCAUCAAAAUGAAUAAAAGGGGAUGUCUCUAGACGUAUAUUAGUUCUAGAUACAUCUCUUUUUAUCCAUUUUGAUGACAAGUAUUUUCGGACGGAGGGAGUACAUG